CAGCUACCGCAUGUAUUGGGUGCGACAGGCACCCGGGAAGGGGCUCGAGUACGUCGCACAAAUUAGCAGCAGUGGUAGUAGCACAGACUACGCGUCGGCGGUGAAGGGACGCUUCACCAUCUCCAGGAACGACGGACAGAGCACGCUCACCCUGCAGAUGAACAGCCUCAAGGCCGAAGACACCGCCACCUACUACUGCGCAAAACGUGC